CUCCGGCCUCUUCGAAGCUGUUGUAAAUUAUCUCACAUUUAUUGCAGUCAAAUGAUGGCCGAGAAUAAUUUAAUCUUCUUUUUGGUCACUGAUUGACCAUGUGGUCUUUCCGUAUUACCCAAGGAGAUUACAAUU